UACGUAGGUGACCAGCGUUGUCCGGAUUUACUGGGCGUAAAGAGCGCGCAGGCGGUCGUUCAAGUCGAGUGUGAAAGCCCCCGGCUCAACUGGGGAGGGUCACUCGAUACUGAUCGACUUGAAGGCAGGAGAGGGAAGCGGAAUUCCCGGUGUAGUGGUGAAAUGCGUAGAUAUCGGGAGGAACACCGGUGGCGAAGGCGGGUCUCUGGGCAUCUCCUGACGCUGAGGCGCGAAAGCGUGGGGAGCAAACGGGG
rnacentral:rRNA from 1 species